UGUCGAAAUGAUCUAUUACAGGCGUCUCAACAUGCAAUUUUUCUUUUUGCUACGAUCCCACAAAUAUGGAAGAACUUUUCUUGUGAGUUGCUCCAAAAUAGUUGCAGUAAAAAAAAGGAAGUUUCUGAAACGAGAUGCAGGUGAGAAAGGAAGCUGAAACGAGAUGCAGGGGUUGGGAAAUUGAAAAGACGCUGAACAGGACUGAACGGGAUGGAUGACACGGUAGUCUGCAGCAAGUUUCUAAAAAAAAAACAAAUAAAAAAAAUUAAAAAUUCUGACGUGGCAUGAGCCACUUCACUUUGUGGGAUCCAUGUGAGGUCGUAGCGGCCCUCUAUAUUCUACACAACCUCCCCUAUUGUAGCACAACCUCCGCACGCCUGACGUGGCGAACCGGUUUGGUCGACCACAUCACGGUUGGCUUUCUCACCCUCCCUCACUCGACGAGACUUUCUCCCCCUCCUCAGUUCCCUUUAUCCCUCCUCACAUCCCUUUCUUCCCCUCCCGAAAGCCCAGUGAACACCACCUCACGCCAAGAUCCCCCAGCCCCGCUAUUCUCUCAGCCCUGAAAGGCUACAAGAAAAAAUUCUCUUCUUCCUCACCCAAACAUUCUCUCACCCAUGAAACCCUGGAAAAAAUUCGACCCUUCACACAUAGAAUCUCUUCUAAUCUCUCUCUCCUUCUCUCGUGGAUCACUGGUUGAGUGAUUUUACAGAGUCCUCUCACAAAACCCUGACAAAAAACGGUGUUUCUUCACAAAACCCUCACACAAAGUACCUACCGCUUUUGACUUUAAAUCGGCAUUUCUUUCCUCCGACGGGGGCACUAUCUAGCAUUGUUAGAGCACUUUGGAGGAAUCAAAGAUUUAUCUGGAUAAGACAUAAGGAUAAUGUCCAUAUGGAGCUGUUAUUUGGACUACAGAAAAAUGAUGGAUAUCCAAAAAUGGGAUUGGACAGCACUUUGGACACUUGCAGGACUGAAGAUUUAUGGAAAUAGUUGCAGCCAAAUAAUGGCUUUAGCCGCUGGUUUUGUCUUUGUUGUUGUAUUUGUUUACACUCAAGUUAGAGAAGUACAAUACAUUAUUGUUGUUUUAUUUUAAAAAUUGAACUAGUGUAUUUCCUUUCAUAGUUGUAUGUUGAGUUGUAAGUGUUGUAUAUUAUUUAUAUGCAAUGGAAUGAGGUGCUGCUUGGACAGCCCAAACUAUAUUUUGUUACAGUUAAA